UAACUGGUGGAAGUCCAGUCGGGGUAAGUGCCAAGGCGCCCCGUAGCUAGGAUGCCUGCGUAGAGAGAAAUCUGUGCGUAGAGGCGCAUCGACAGAAGUACCUUUCAAUGAAAGGGCGAGCAAGUCACCAGACCGUAACAUCA
rfam:Dehalobacter sp. CF, complete genome.